GAUGAACGCUGGCGGCGUGCCUAAUACAUGCAAGUCGAACGAAACUUCUUUAUCACCGAGUGCUUGCACUCACCGAUAAAGAGUUGAGUGGCGAACGGGUGAGUAACACGUGGGCAACCUGCCCAAAAGAGGGGGAUAACACUUGGAAACAGGUGCUAAUACCGCAUAACCAUAGUUACCGCAUGGUAACUAUGUAAAAGGUGGCUAUACUACCGCUUUUGGAUGGGCCCGCGGCGCAUUAGCUAGUUGGUAGGGUAAAGGCUUACCAAGGCAAUGAUGCGUAGCCGAAUUGAGAGGUUGAUCGGCCACAUUGGGACUGAGACACGGCCCAAACUCCUACGGGAGGCAGCAGUAGGGAAUCUUCCACAAUAGGCGAAAGCCUGAUGGAGCAACGCCGCGUGGGUGAAGAAGGUCUUCGGAUCGUAAAACCCUGUUGUUAGAGAAGAAAGUGCGUGAGAGUAACUGUUCACGUUUCGACGGUAUCUAACCAGAAAGCCACGGCUAACUACGUG
rnacentral:rRNA from 1 species